UACGUAGGGGGCUAGCGUUGUCCGGAAUCAUUGGGCGUAAAGCGCGUGUAGGCGGUUCGGUAAGUCCGCUGUGAAAGUCGGGGGCUCAACCCUCGGAUGCCGGUGGAUACUGUCGAGCUUGAGUACGGAAGAGGCGAGUGGAAUUCCUGGUGUAGCGGUGGAAUGCGCAGAUAUCAGGAGGAACACCAAUAGCGAAGGCAGCUCGCUGGGACGUUACUGACACUGAGGCGCGAAAGCGUGGGGAGCGAACAGG
rnacentral:rRNA from 1 species